rnacentral:rRNA from 1 species
GAUGAACGCUGACAGAAUGCUUAACACAUGCAAGUCUACUUGAAUUUGGGUUUUUUAACUUCGAUUUGGGUGGCGGACGGGUGAGUAACGCGUAAAGAACUUGCCUCACAGCUAGGGACAACAUUUGGAAACGAAUGCUAAUACCUGAUAUUAUGAUUAUAAGGCAUCUUAGAAUUAUGAAAGCUAUAUGCGCUGUGAGAGAGCUUUGCGUCCCAUUAGCUAGUUGGAGAGGUAACGGCUCACCAAGGCGAUGAUGGGUAGCCGGCCUGAGAGGGUGAACGGCCACAAGGGGACUGAGACACGGCCCUUACUCCUACGGGAGGCAGCAGUGGGGAAUAUUGGACAAUGGACCAAGAGUCUGAUCCAGCAAUUCGGUGUGCACGAUGACGUUUUUCGGAAUGUAAAGUGCUUUCAGUUGGGAAGAAAAAAAUGACGGUACCAACAGAAGAAGUGACGGCUAAAUACGUG